AUUCCAGCUCCAAUAGCGUAUAUUAAAGUUGUUGCAGUUAAAAAGCUCGUAGUUGGAUUUGUGGUGUGCGUUGCGGCGUCCAUUUGUUUGGUUCUGCCGUGACCGCGCCAUCCUUGGGUGGAAUCUGUGUGGCAUUAGGUUGUCGUGCAGGGGAUGCCCAUCGUUUACUGUGAAAAAAUUAGAGUGUUCAAAGCAGGCUUAUGCCGUUGAAUAUAUUAGCAUGGAAUAAUAAGAUAGGUCUAGGGUCCUAUUUUGUUGGUUUGCGGUCCUUAGAAAUGAUUAACAGGGACAGUUGGGGGUAUUCGUAUUCCAUUGUCAGAGGUGAAAUUCUUGGAUUUCUGGAAGACGAACUACUGCGAAAGCAUUUACCAAGGAUGUUUUC
rnacentral:rRNA from 1 species